CUAACUAUUUGAUGAAAAAAUGUCUAAGAGUGUAUGGACAACUAAGAAACGUAAUGUUAUGGCUUAUGCAACUGUAAUUGAUUCAUGUGGUGUCGAUUUCCAUAUUACAACAUAGUCCAACUUUAAAUUAAUGAAAAAAGUGCUGCCGAAAGCUUACCUUCUUCCACAUGGAUACAGCUGCUAUCACUUUAGCUUUUGGAGGAGAAUGGAAGAGUUCGCCUCUCGACAUCUUGUUUGUUUGGUAAGUGGGAUUUUGACCUAGGUGCCGUAGUGUUGCCUAACCAUUUGGCUGUAGAUGUUGAAUGUGAGAUCUUUAGCUACUUGUACCCAUUUGCUACCGUGUGGUUAGAUACAAUGCACUGGCAGGAUGGGAGUUAAUUAGGGUCAAGGGAGCAGGGAAGAGUUUGUUAUUCGCUAUUGGUUUGUGAGGAUGAUAGUGGUAUUUUGAUAAUUAAUACAACCAUUAAGGAAAUAUCUAAUUAAAUAUUACAAAGUAAUAUAAUACAUCAUUACUAAGUUUGUCACCGACGGUACAUUAAAAGAAUGAAAUCAAGAUGUAUUUCAAUGAUUAAUAAUGAGAUAAAAUUUGCGAUAGAAAAGAGAUAGUGAAUUCUAAAUUCCAAUUCGGCAAAGUUUCAAGUGAAACGUACUCUUAAGGGGACAAUAGUAAUUUUCAUUGUUAAGAGUAUGUAGCAAUACCAUGGCAUACAUUCAAAAUUGCUUGAAGUAUAUUUCAUUGAUUAUUUGGAUGAAUCUAACCUUAAGCUGCAGCAAAGUGUGGAAUGAGUUGACCCCAAGAUUGAUGGAGUCGACCCCGAUACAUCAUGGAACCAUCAGGCACACUUCUGCAAAAAUGGCACGGAUGAACAGUAGUUGAGUCGACCCCAUCUUCAAGCCUCAAGAAAACAAGUCUCUGGAAUCCCUGAGAGGGUCGACCCCAAUAUAACUUGAGUCGACCCCACCUUGAGUCGACCCCAACUGAACAUGAGUCGACCCCAAGGUUGUCUCAUUCAUAAACUGGUUGUCUGGAAUCUCUGAGAGGGUCGACCCCAAUAUAACUUGAGUCAACCCCAACUAAACAUGAGUCGACCCCAAGGCUGUGUCAAUCAAAA
rnacentral:lncRNA from 1 species